GGAGGGGUGGCCGAGUGGCUUAAGGCAACGGUUUGCUAAACCGUCGUAGGGUGAAAAUCUUACCGAGGGUUCGAAUCCCUCCUCCUCCG
rnacentral:tRNA from 1 species